GGUUGUCUGUUAGAGGUUCGGUGGAGUUGGGAGUCUGAAGUAGUUGGAUGUGGUUAGUGGGGAGGAUAUUAGGGGAUGUGGUUGUUAGUGGGGAGUUGGGAUAGUAAUCAAAUUGGUUGUUUUUAUUUUAUUUUGUUUUUUAAAUUUUUUCUCCGUCUUCCCAAAAAUCUGAUGUCAGUUUCUGCCUCUCCUCUAUUUUUUCUGCCGUUUCCAUCUUUUUGUCUCUCCUCUACUUCUUUAUUCUCUCUUUCUUUCAUUUUCCUUCAAGUUUGUUCACACUUCUUCU
rnacentral:lncRNA from 1 species